ACCAUUGAAAGCCAAAAGCACUGAGGGGAUGCAGACCAUAGAGUCUUUCUUAUUGUAGAAGAUUUUAAAGACCCUGGUAGGCAAUGAAGGCUAUGCAUCGUCUUAAUAUUCUAGUGGUUUGCAGGACCCAAAUCUGCCCCAAGAAAGGCAUGAUUGUGUGUGCAAUCAGCAGGGAGUACUACUUCAUCUGGAUCUGACUCUGUCUCUAUUAUGUGUCUAUGAGGAUGGUCCUCAGGUUAACUGUCAGUCACAGACUUAUCCAGCGUCUUCAGUACCAGACCACUCUUAGAGAAGUUAACUUCUCUUGGACAGUGACGCACCCUGUCUGAAAUGUAGACAGAGCUGAGCAAGGAAUUGGGGUCAGUCAAUGCAAGACUCAUGUUUUCUCUUCUCCAGACCAUUUCACAGUGAACCUGGAAAGAAGUUCUCAUGCCCAGUUUCCAGGCCGGACUCUUGGGUACCAACCUACUGAUAACAGACUUUGCAGAGACUGUGUCGAAUGGCAAUGCUCCUCACAUGCACUUACAUGUGCCUGCUCAGUGCACAAAACCACAUGGGAGACUCCAGGAUACCAAACACUUUGAAGAACAGACAAUAGUCAAGUGUGUAGGUGAUGUUGAGUUCAUUCCAAGUCUAAGACAUGCAAAGGAGUGACCUGGGUGUAUUGCUGAGACCACGGGUCACAUCUUCACUAACUGGCAGCAUGCUGUAGAUUUUACCAGAAGUCACACUUAUGUGGAUGGAGAGGCUAGAUAAGUUUCUAAGUAAAGGAAACAGAGCACUUCUCUCUAUACACUGAGGACUGUCUGUGGAAGCCAGUUGCCACAAGACACACCACACCCUUUCCACAAGAAACCAAGACUUCGUGGACCCAAGCCUGCCUGUUUUGUCAAUAUCUUUGGAGUCAAAGUUGAGGCUGGGAGCUCUUGGCCACCAGUUCCAGCCACCGCAUCUACUGCUUUCUGCCAUGCUGCUUCUGUCAUUACAAACUCAAACCUGC
rnacentral:lncRNA from 1 species